GACGAACGCUGGCGGCGUGCUUAACACAUGCAAGUCGAACGAAGUGGCGAACGGGUGAGUAACGCGUAAUCAACCUGCCCUUCAGAGGGGGACAACAGUUGGCAACGACUGCUAAUACCGCAUACUGAAUGAGGGGAUUGCGUCGGAUUAGCUAGUUGGAGGGGGAACCGCCCACCAAGGCGAUGAUCAGUAGCCGGUCUGGGCGGAUGAACGGCCACAUUGGGACUGGGACACGGGCCAGACGCCUACGGGAGGCAGCAGUGGGGAAUCUUCCGCAAUGGACGAAAGGCUGACGAAGCAACGCCGCGGGAGGGAUGACGGCCUGCGGGUUGUAAAGCUCUGUUAAUCGGGACGCGGUACCGGAAUAGAAAGCCACGGCUAACUACGUGCCAGCAGCCGCGGUAAUUC
rnacentral:rRNA from 1 species